rnacentral:tRNA from 1 species
GACCAACCAAGGCAGAGACGCUUCAGGACCGUAUGGAGAGCCUAGGAGCUGCGAUCAAGGCUGCAGAGGGAGCCUCCUUCAGCCUUCACCUGAGCGGAGGAGAGAACCCUUCGCUGGUGACUCCGAAACUCAGCGCCUCUUCCAGACAUUGGGGAAAUGAACGUUUAGGAGAGUGGAGUGAAAUCUCCCGCGAGCGCGUACGCCUGAGGCCGUGAAUCCCAUCCGAGUUGAAAUCUCCGUGGCACCUUUACACGUAAUGAAUAUGGUCUCUUACUGAGGCCACACAAAAUUUCAGUAUAUAAAAACAAGCUCCUGGCCCAAAUGAGUAGUGAAUUGGACUUAUUUUCCCAGUGGAGUCCUUCACCCUCAACCCCACUCCCACCCCCUGCUGGACCCGCAUCCCCACUCCCACUUCCUGGUCCUCAUGGUUUAGGGGAGAAAACGGUUUCGGGUCAAGAAGAAGGAAAUAGGGGCUGCAGCCCCAAGGUCCCGGCAGCACACGUCCCCGCACCCCUCCUUCUCCCCGGGGCUGUUUGCGGCUCUCAUCCCGGUACCCUCGCCCUCUUUCGCCUCCUUCUCAGGACUCCGGAUCCCGGAAACCGGGUUCUCAAAGUGACGCAGUCCAAAAGGAAUUUUUGGAAACAUCGAGAUUUCAGCACUUGUUAUUUCUGCGUCCUGGGCAAGCCCGCCUGGCCCGGCUCAGUACCCAUUAUUCUCCUGAAGCCUCGGGCUCCUCCGUGGUAGAAAGUUACUACUGCAUCAACAAAAUCCUAGACUCGGAGAUAUUUUUGACGCCAACUGAUGUGUGACUGGAUCGUACACCCUUGCUUUGAAAGAAAUUAUACCUAUCUUGGAAACAAAACGCUUUCAGGGCCCGGCUAGCUCAGUCGGUAGAGCAUGAGACUCUUAAUCUCAGGGUCGUGGGUUCGAGCCCCACGUUGGGCGCUUUGGGUUUUUUUUUUUUCUCUCUUUGAAGUCUGUCAGCUACCAAUAGAAUCAACAGCUUUUAAAUAGCCAUUGUGGCCACUGUUGUUUUAAAACUUUGGUAAAUGAUUCCAAGAAUCGCCUCUACGCGCCCCAAAUUCAGCACAAAUAAGGAAUCUGGACCAGGGAUUCCAGCGCGUCAGGUUGUUGAGGCCAGGGGUCCCUGACGCCCCGCCGCCUGGGUCUGGACUCCUUCCGGAACCGAGUCCGGGAGCCGGGGGCUCCGCCUCCGUCCUGACCCGACUCUGCUCCACGGAGAAGACGCCUGAGGACGUGACCUGACGGAAAUAUCUUCGUUCUCUUCUCUUUGGUUCUCAGGUAACCUCUCUACAGAAGUAAUUGGAGGAUAUACACAAUCAAAAGGAAGGAAUGAAUAAAGAAAGAAGACCACUUGCAAUCUAUGAAGCAAGGGAUCGGACAAAAGAGAGAGGCAACAGAAAUCCCAAGAUGAUGGUGAAGUAAAGGGAGAUAUUAUGAUGACAGCUGUGGCAAAGGCCUUAAGAUCAAGUAGUCCAUACUGGAGAAGAGAGGAAUGUACCAAGAGAGACUUCUUGAAAAAAACUGAUUGCAUGUUUCAAUGUGUUGAGGUGAGAUUUACAGAACUGGGGAGAAAUUGGUUAUAAUUCAGUAAUAAAUACAUGGAAAACUAAGCAAAUGGAAAAAUGAG